rnacentral:rRNA from 1 species
UACGAAGGGGGCGAGCGUUGUUCGGAUUUACUGGGCGUAAAGGGCGCGCAGGCGGUUCUGUUUGUCAGGCGUGAAAGCCCCGGGCUCAACCUGGGAAUGGCGCCUGGGACGGCGGGACUAGAGAUCGGGAGAGGAGCGUGGAAUUCCCAGUGUAGAGGUGAAAUUCGUAGAUAUCGGCAGGAACACCCAGGGGGAAACCAGUCGACUGGGCAUCUACUGACGCUGAGGUGCGAGAGCGUGGGGAGCGAACCGG